CCGCGGAGCUGCCUGCGGCGUCCUCGCUCCCCGCCGCCUCACCUCGCUCGAUGUUGGCGAUGGCCCGCCGCAGGUGCUCCUCGGUCACCAGCUCGCCGAUGACCACCAGCAGAUACCCUCAAGACUUGCCACAUGGUGCCCCCUGGAGAAAGCCAGCUUCUGACUUCUCCCACUGCAGUACAUAGCUUUGGGAUAUGCCUUUAUUUCAAUCACCAAUAAGAGCAGCUGUUUUCUGGAGCAUGGAAGGGGCUUGCCAAGGGGACUUGCUAACUGGUUGCAGAAUAGACUGGUAGUGGUUACCAGUCGUAAAGGCAAAACAAUUGCUUGCCUCGCAAGCACAGCAGGUUAAAUGCAUUACUCUGAGAAAUGCACACCAGUACACAAAAUGCAUUGUAUGUGCUUUUUAGCAUUUUCCUAUUUUAAGAAAAAAUGAAGACAUACAUAACUGGAAGAAUGCCUAUGAAUUUGAAAAGUAAAAGGUGAAAAGAAUGUACUGUAUCAAAGAAGAAAAUGCUUACAUACAGGUAGGUAAUACAGAUAUGUUUGAAAUAGCCUGCUGAGGUAGUCCUGUUUUAUACUGCGCUGUAAAAUAAUAUGCAGCUAGAACAUGGUAUGACAAAAGGUUAACUGUUACAGUCAGACUGUCUUGUGAUGGGAGAUGUGUCACACAUUAAAACCCUAAGGACAAGAGGCUGCCUUUGGAAGAAAAUGGUCUUGCACUAAACUCUUCAAGGGAUUCAGACCUCUGCCCUCAUCUGUCCAAGAUGAUAGCAUAUGCCACUUCAUCUGAGAUGGAAAUUAGACAAGAAAAGAUGCUUUAACCUCCUGGAUGUGUCUCUGAGGAAGCUGCAGGUUCCCAGCUCCGUGGUCAGUGUUCAUGCUGUGACUUGCCCUGUUGGUACCUCACUCAGGUAGUUUUGUUUGUCAUCAUCUUUCCCUAUCUGGAAACCCAUUUAUAUUCUGCAAUAUGGAGCGUAUCAACAGAUCAGCUGCUGGGUGAAAUGUGGAGGAGAUGUGCUGUAUAAAGCUGACUCAGUAUCAUGUGACCCUCACUGUCUGAAAGCGAUACCAGCUUCCUAGCUGUGGCUAAAUCACAUAGGUACACCACUUCAGUAGAAGAAACAGCAAAACUCGUGUGGACUAUGGAAUAUGUCUUGCUGUUUUAAAGAGACAGUGAUUGAUACCCACUGCUGUCUGGCUUUUGUUUGCUUUGGUUUGGUUUGGUUUUGUUCCUUUAGUAUGUUCAAUACCAAAUUGGUGUCCCCUGACUGAAUAGAGUCAAACAUGACAUGUAGAGCUGUAUUUUUCUUGCGGAUCUGGUAUUUUUUAAAGUAAACAGGCAGUUUUAAAUAAGGCGCUUGAAGUCUAAAACUAGAACAUA